rnacentral:lncRNA from 1 species
AAAUGAUAGUUUCUGGAUUUGACCAUAUUAAUGACUUAAGGCUCAUAUUUCUGUGUUUAUUAUAAUUAAGUCUAUGAUUUGAUAUUUGAUAGAGCAGUCUGCAGCAGGCUCGUAAGCAUUCAUUUAAACAGCAGCUCUUAGCAAUGCUGGGAUGCACAGCCCUGUUUAUGACUUCAAGCCUAUCAACUCCCAGAAUUAGGCUGGCAAUACUAAAGUGCCUGUAAGAACAUUCCAAUAGUCAAAGGUAUAUGGAAUACAAAUGGUAUAGAGAGAAAUAGACCUAUGAUUACUCUAAUAACUACAACCUAAAACUUCUUACCUGGGAAUAUUGAAGACUCAUGUUAAAAGGAACCACCAGCUUUCAUAUGUUCUCAUGUUCUGAGCGAGGAACUUAAACGUUAGCUUUUUUACAUGGCACAUAUUGCACUUUUACUUUCUUCUCCAACACUGUGUUUUUGCAUUAUUUAAACCAAAUUGAAAAUGCCUCAUUAUUUAUUUGAGACUAAAUUGAUUUUAGUUAUGUAUUAUAUUAAGUUAAAAUAAAAAAGUGUUCAUUGUUCAUUCAGUAGUGUUGUAAUUAUUACACAUAUAUAUAUAUAUAAAAAAAAAUACAUAAUUAUUAUUAUUUAUUUUUUAAUUCGUCCGAUUAGUCGGUAUUGGCUUUUUUUGGUCCUCCAAUAAAUCAGUAUCGGCGUUGAGAAAUCAUAAUCGGUCGACCUCUACAUUAAACAAAGCCUGUGUGUCCAUGUAUGCUGAUGAUUCAACCACAGACGCAUCAGCAACCACAGCUAAUGAAGUCACUGAAAACCUUAAAGAGUUGAGGUCUGUUUUGGAAUGGGUGGCCAGUAAUAAACUGGUCCUGAACAUCUCUAAAACUAAGAGCGUUGUAUUUGGUACAAAUCCUUCCUAGAGUUCUAGACCUCAGCUGAAUCUGGUAAUGAAUGGUGUGGCUGUUGAACAAGUUGAGGAGACUAAAUUACUUGGCGUUACCUUAGAUUGUAAACUCUAAUGGUCAAAACAUACAGAUUCAAUGGUUGUAAAGAUGGGGAGAGGUCUGGCCGUAAUAAAGGGAUGCUUUGCUUUUUUGACACCACACUGUAAAAAGCAGGUCCUGCAGGCUCUAGUUUUGUCUAAUCUUGAUUAUUGUCCAGUCGUGUGGUCCAGUGCUGCAAGGAAAGACCUAGUUAAGCUGCAGCUGGUCCAGAACAGAGCGGGACGUCUUGCUCGUCAUUGUAAUCAGAGGGCUGAUAUUAAUACUAUGGAUGCCAGUCUCUCUUGGCUAAGAGUUGAGGAAAGACUGACUGCAUCACUUCUUCUUAUAAGAAGUGUCUUUUGUCCUAUAUUUAUAUAUUUAAAAACAUUUACAUUUUUUUAUCCCAGGCCGUCAUUGUAAAUAAGAAUUAGUUUUUAAUUGACUUGCCUAGUUAAAUAAAAAAUAUAUAGAUUGUGUUAGAUCCCACAUUUUUUACAUUGUCAACUACACACAGAUCCGACACACACACUUACCCCACCAGACAUGCCACCAGGGGUCUUUUCACAGUCCCCAAAUACAGAACAAAUUCAAGAAAGCUUACUGUAUUAUUGUCAUUUAGCAGACACUCUUAUCCAUAGCGACUUACAGUAGUGAGUGCAAACAUUUUCAUAGUGAAAAUUAUGAAAUGGAUUAAUUUGCCCAAGUUAAUCAUAAGAUACGAACAAAAUGCAUCAGUGAUUGGAUCAGUGCAACUUCCUGAAAGAGCACAGGGCCCCUGUCUGUCUGUGUGUAGUGCUGCUCUGUAUGUCUGGUCUAUACUCUGUGUGUAGUGCUGCUCUGUGUGUAGUGCUGCUCUGUAUGUCUGGUCUACACUCUCUGUGUUGCUGCUCUGUAUGUCUGGUCUACACUCUGUGUAGUGCUGCUCUGUUUGUCUGGUCUACACUCUGUGUGAUGCUGCUCUAUAUGUCUGGUCUACACUCUGUGUAGUGCUGCUCUGUAUGUCUGGUCUACACUCUGUAUAGUGCUGCUCUGUGUGUAGUGCUGCUCUGUAUGUCUGGUCUACACUCUGUGUUGUGCUGCUCUGUAUGUCUGGUCUACACUCUGUGUGUAGUGCUGCUCUGUAUGUCUGGUCUACACUCUGUGUGUAGUGCUGCUCUGUGUGUAGUGCUGCUCUGUAUGUCUGGUCUACACUCUGUGUGUAGUGCUGCUCUGUAUGUCUGGUCUAUACUCUGUGUGUAGUGCUGCUCUGUAUGUCUGGACUACACUGUGUGUGUAGUGCUGAUCUGUAUGUCUGGUCUACACACUGUGUGUUGUGCUGCUCUGUAUGUCUGGUCUACACUCUGUGCAGCUGUUAGAGAUAAUGCUAAUGAUAACUGUCUUCUGGUAGAGGGAAAGACUUUCCCAAACCUCCUCUAUUAAAUUUUAACUACAAAGUAGCAUAUGCCUACCUGGCAGAAUUAUAGAGAUCAUUUGUUUUGAAAACUCUGCACCAUCACAGAAGCACUACAGAAACACUACUAACCAAACAACAGUGCUAGGUGUCUGUGCUACAGAAACACUGCUAACCAAACAACAGUGCUAGGUGUCUGUGCUACAGAAACACUGCUAACCAAACAACAGUGCUAGGUGUCUGUACUACAGAAACACCGCUAACCAAACAACAGUGCUAGGUGUCUGUGCUACAGAAACACUGCUAACCAAACAACAGUGCUAGGUGGCUGUACUACAGAAACACUGCUAACCAAACAACAGUGCUAGGUGGCUGUACUACAGAAACACUGCUAACCAAACAACAGUGCUAGGUGGCUGUGCUACAGAAACACUGCUAACCAAACAACAGUGCUAGGUGGCUGUGCUACAGAAACACUGCUAACCAAACAACAGUGCUAGGUGGCUGUGCUACAGAAACACCGCUAACCAAACAACAGUGCUAGGUGGCUGUACUACAGAAACACCGCUAACCAAACAACAGUGCUAGGUGGCUGUACUACAGAAACACUGCUAACCAAACAACAGUGCUAGGUGGCUGUGCUACAGAAACACUGCUAACCAAACAACAGUGCUAGGUGGCUGUACUACAGAAACACUGCUAACCAAACAACAGUGCUAGGUGGCUGUGCUACAGAAACACUGCUAACCAAACAACAGUCUCUGGCUGGUGAACACUUGUAUUAAAAGGAAACUACACCCCCCCCCCCCACAACAACAAAAAACAGAAUCGGGCAAAAAAAAUAAGUGAUUUUAUAGGGAGCUAAUAAUAACAACAUCAGCACACCGGCCUGCUAGAUAAUAAUAUUACAACACCCAAGCCUUCACAGUUAUAACACACCUGUUCCCUCUC